GACCUGCCCAGUGAGCAAUUUUUAACGGCCGCGGUACUCUGACCGUGCAAAGGUAGCAUAAUCAUUUGCCCUAUAAUUGAGGGCUAGUAUGAAUGGUUUGACGUGAACAAGACUGUCUCUAUGUGGUUUACUAGAACUUGAUUUUUAGGUGAGGAAACCUAGAUUUCAUUGAUAGACAAGAAGACCCUAUUGAGCUUUAAAGAAACAGAUUGAGUACUAAUAUAUAGUUUUAGAUAUUAAUUUAUUUGAAAUUUUGGUUGGGGCGACUAUGGAACAGACAAAGCUUCUUUAUAUCUAAAAGACUUACAGGUUUUGAUCCAGAAAUUUUGAUUAAUGAAAUUAGUUACCAUAGGGAUAACAGCAUAAUUCUCUUCAAGAGCCCUUAUCGAAAAGAGAGUUUGUGACCUCGAUGUUGGACUAGAAUAUCCU
rnacentral:rRNA from 1 species